rnacentral:rRNA from 1 species
GACGAACGCUGGCGGCGUGCCUAAUACAUGCAAGUCGAACGAGAGCGACCGGUGCUUGCACUGGUCAAUCUAGUGGCGAACGGGUGAGUAACACGUGGGUAACCUGCCCAUCAGAGGGGGAUAACAUUCGGAAACGGAUGCUAAAACCGCAUAGGUCUUCGAACCGCAUGGUUUGGAGAGGAAAAGAGGCGCAAGCUUCUGCUGAUGGAUGGACCCGCGGUGCAUUAGCUAGUUGGUGAGGUAACGGCUCACCAAGGCCGUGAUGCAUAGCCGACCUGAGAGGGUGAUCGGCCACAUUGGGACUGAGACACGGCCCAAACUCCUACGGGAGGCAGCAGUAGGGAAUCUUCCGCAAUGGACGCAAGUCUGACGGAGCAACGCCGCGUGAGUGAAGAAGGUUUUCGGAUCGUAAAACUCUGUUGUUAGAGAAGAACAAGUGCUAGAGUAACUGUUAGCGCCUUGACGGUAUCUAACCAGAAAGCCACGGCUAACUACGUG